GGCCAUAUAAUAUUGAAACACUAGUUCCCGUACAAUCACUGAUGUUAAGCAACAUUGAGCUUGGUCAGUACUUAUAUAGGUGACUGCUAGGAAAUUCCACGUGCUGUAAG